GACGAACGCUGGCGGCGUGCUUAACACAUGCAAGUCGAACGGAAAGGCCUCUUUCGGGGGGUACUCGAGUGGCGAACGGGUGAGUAACACGUGAGUAACCUGCCCUUGACUUUGGGAUAACUUCAGGAAACUGGGGCUAAUACCGGAUAGGAGCUCCUGCUGCAUGGGGGGGGGUGGAAAGUUUCGGCGGUUGGGGAUGGACUCGCGGCUUAUCAGCUUGUUGGUGGGGUAGUGGCUUACCAAGGCUUUGACGGGUAGCCGGCCUGAGAGGGUGACCGGCCACAUUGGGACUGAGAUACGGCCCAGACUCCUACGGGAGGCAGCAGUGGGGAAUAUUGCACAAUGGGCGGAAGCCUGAUGCAGCAACGCCGCGUGCGGGAUGACGGCCUUCGGGUUGUAAACCGCUUUCGCCUGUGACGAAGCGUGAGUGACGGUAAUGGGUAAAGAAGCACCGGCUAACUACGUG
rnacentral:rRNA from 1 species